rnacentral:rRNA from 1 species
CGGGGGGAGCAAGCGUUGUUCGGAUUUACUGGGCGUAAAGGGCGCGUAGGCGGCCACCGCAAGUCGGUUGUGAAAUCUCCGGGCUUAACCCGGAAAGGUCAAUCGAUACUGCGGGGCUAGAGUGCAGAAGGGGCAACUGGAAUUCUCGGUGUAGCGGUGAAAUGCGUAGAUAUCGAGAGGAACACCUGCGGCGAAGGCGGGUUGCUGGGCUGACACUGACGCUGAAGCGCGAAAGCUAGGGGAGCGAACGGGAUUAGAUACCCCGGUAGUCCUAGCCUUAAACGAUGAAUGCUUGGUGUCUGGGGUUUUAUAGUCCCCGGGUGCCGUCGCUAACGCUUUAAGCAUUCCGCCUGGGGAGUACGGUCGCAAGACUG